AUGAACGCUAGCGGGAGGCCUAACACAUGCAAGCCGAGCGGUAGAGAUUCUUCGGGAUCUUGAGAGCGGCGUACGGGUGCGGAACACGUGUGCAACCUGCCUUUAUCUGGGGGAUAGCCUUUAGAAAGGAAGAUUAAUACCCCAUAAUAUAAGAGACGGCAUCGUUUUUUAUUGAAAACUCCGGUGGAUAGAGAUGGGCACGCGCAAGAUUAGAUAGUUGGUGAGGUAACGGCUCACCAAGUCUACGAUCUUUAGGGGGCCUGAGAGGGUGAUCCCCCAGACUGGUACUGAGGCACGGACCAGACUCGUACGGGAGACAGCGGUGAGGAAUAUUGGACAAUGGAUGAGAGCCUGAUCCAGCCAUCCCGCGUGAAGGACGACUGCCCUAUGGGUUGUAAACUUCUCUUGUAUAGAGAUAAACCUACCCUCGUGAGGGUAGCUGAAGGUACUAUACGAAUAAGCACCGGCUAACUCCGUGCCAGCCGCCGCAGUAACAC
rnacentral:rRNA from 1 species